AGUGAACGCUGGCGGUAGGCCUAACACAUGCAAGUCGAACGGCAGCACAGUAAGAGCUUGCUCUUACGGGUGGCGAGUGGCGGACGGGUGAGGAAUACAUCGGAAUCUACUUUUUCGUGGGGGAUAACGUAGGGAAACUUACGCUAAUACCGCAUACGACCUACGGGUGAAAGCAGGGGAUCUUCGGCCCUUGCGCGAUUGAUUGAGCCGAUGUCGGAUUAGCUAGUUGGCGGGGUAAAGGCCCACCAAGGCGACGAUCCGUAGCUGGUCUGAGAGGAUGAUCAGCAACACUGGAACGGAGACACGGUCAAGACGCCUACGGGAGGAAGCAGUGGGGAAUAUUGGACAAUGGGCGCAAGCCUGAUCCAGCCAUACCGAGUGGGUGAAGAAGGCCUUCGGGUUGGAAAGCCCUUUUGUUGGGAAAGAAAAGAAGCAGGUUAAUACCCCGCUGUUCUGACGGUACCCAAAGAAUAAGCACCGGCUAACUUCGUG
rnacentral:rRNA from 1 species